rnacentral:lncRNA from 12 species
GGGGGUCAUAAGGAUAUUUAGGAUAGGUUUAUGCUUGUUGCAUGAUUCCCCUAGGUAUUUUUUCAAAAUAAAUACACAGACUUAUAUUUCUUGUCAAGUAUUUUACCUUUUUUUUUUUUUUUUUUUUUUUUUAAUUAGGAGGAGUGUAAACAUGGUGGUUCUGAGCCUAUCAUCUGGAGCCAGGCUGUCUUGGGUUCCAAUUUCUGCUUUCAAAUCCCACUCACUGGCUGAGUGACUGGACAGGUUAUUUCACCUUUCCUUUCUCAGUGUUCUCAGAUGGAAAAUGAGGAUACUGAUAGGAGAUGGUCCUGUUGAAAGGAGUCAGUGAGUAAGCACAUUUUAGCUUGUAGACCCUGGGAAAUGGCACUUCGCAUAAAAUCAUUCAUAGGGUGUCUUGUAUUGGGGAGGCGAUACUACCUGAAGACUGGAUGUGAUGAAAACUGAUUUUAUUCAAGUGGCACCAGUGACGCUUUUCAGUGGCUGUGGCCCCUCCUAGGAGAGUGAAGUCAUGCUCUCUUAGCAACUGCAAUCUGGCCUGGGAGCAUCCCGGACUUUAUUAGCUCAUCUGACCAGCUCCAUAAAAAGGGAAUAAGGUUUCAAUUUCUUGGUUCAAAAAUACCCACAUUGUACUUCCAGCUUAGGUCUCUGAACCAUCAACCUCAGAACAAAACAGCCUCCAGAGACUGAGCACCCGCUUCACAAGCUGCCUCUCAGACAGUGGGUGCAGUUAUAGGACGCGGCGGGAGCCCCUCGCGGUGGAGAGUUUAGAGGCCGCAGCUUCAGCCUCUACACCCCCUCUCCGGAGGCCCCACAGGCCCCACGGUAACCCCAACUCUGAGAAGCAGGCUGCGGGGUCCUCGAUUCCUGAGGACCAGGAGGCAGAGCGCGGGGGAUGCGGCUGCGAGGGAGGGGGAGGAAGAGGGCCCGGGGAUGAGAGGCGCAGACAGCCGGGGAGGUGGGGCGUGGGGGCUCGCUCUCCCCGGACCUUGGGAAUCCAGCCCCUGGCUUCUCGUCCUAAACCCUGCAGACCCAGGGUGGUGGGUGCAAGUGGGGCUGAGGGACGCAUCACUGAGGACACGAAUUUGUUUUUAAAUACUAAAAUCUUGCGUGGCUUAAGUAAAAGACUGUAUUUAUUAGGUGUGAACGUUCCAGCGAGAUUUCAAGUCAGAGGGGAGACAGAGCCCCAGGCGAUCUCACUUUGCGCUCCCAACGCUUCGUUUUUCCCGCGUCCGGUACAGGCGCUGAAUUCAGAGUCAGAAGCGAAGGAUCCUCUCGUCUGCAGGCUUGGUGGCAACCCCGAGGCCCCCUACACCGCCCUGAAGCGCGUCGCUGCCAGAACUGGGUAGGUGAGUCUGCCUCGGGUGGGCGAGCCUCGGAAGGAGCGGAACAAAAGCAAUUCACCCAGUUCGUGGAUUGCACUUCAGGGAGUCUGCUUAGAACCAAAAGAGAGUAAAACUGUUUUCAACCGUAAAAUAGAAGUAAAACGCCAGGCUCGCCAAGGAGACAUUAUGUGCCGUGACUCGGAUUCGAACCGAGGUUGCUGCGGCCACAACGCAGAGUACUAACCACUAUACGAUCACGGCGCGCCACCCGCCAGGCGACACACCGCGGCUUAAUUUUAGCCCUUUAACAGGACCCCUUACGAGCGGCCGUGUCAUCUGCCCGAUUCAAACGGUCUGCAUCACUCAAAACGCCCAACAAAUGUUUCCACUCCACAAUCUCGAUGUCUCCAUCCCCGAAUCUGGGUCUGAGCUCGAAUCCCGCGUGCGGGCGCCAGCAUCGUCCGUCGGCGGGGCAGCGGCCGGGGACCAUCCCAGCACCCCCACCCCCGAACUCCUCUUCCCUCCUCCCAAAAGAACCAAGCCGCCCCGAGGAUUUCCCUGUUUGCACCUCCAGCUCGUGGCCUGGAGUAGAGGCUCCUGUCCCCAGAAUGGUGGGACCGGAAGCGGCCCUCCUCUCGUUCCUCUCGCUGCCCUCGCCUUUGCAAGCGACGUGGCGCUGUCUCGGGAGCUGCGGCCCCUGGGGCUGACUUCUUUAUUCUGAUUUCUCAGUGAACUCGAGUCACAUCUGAGGACUUAGGAAAACAAAUCCGAGCAGUCUCUGUUUCAGACACUUCCCUAAAGGUCCCCAAAGGCUAGUUACCGUAAACCGGUGGUGCGACCCCAGCGGCCGAACCCAGCACACGAACUUGGCCGAGGGUUGCAGCCGCCAACAUCCCGGAGGCUUUUUUUUAGGAGAGACUCCCCCAAAACCAGUAAUCUUAGAACGCAAGGAUGAUCAAAAGGCUUUCCUUUCCCCAUUGCUUUACUGAAUUGGACUUCGAAUAUGGGGGAGUAAAAGAGAGGACAGCAGAUGCGUUGGCCGGGAAUCGAACCCGGGUCAACUGCUUGGAAGGCAGCUAUGCUCACCACUAUACCACCAACGCGGUGCCGGGAGGCGCGGGUCGAUUUCAUUAUGAGGAGUAUCUGGUGCAGAGCUUGGUCAUGCAAUUCCCCGGGAGCUGUAUUAGGGGAUUACUAACACAAAGCGAAAGGAGGACGUAGAAGAGAAGCUCUCUAGCAUUUCUCCUAUGAUUAUAUUAAAAAUUCUUUGGCGGCUUCUUAUGGAUUCACACGUUUAAAAAAAAGCCAAUUCUAGCUUUAGCUUUUGUCGUUUGAAGGGGGCGUCUGAAAUCCAGUUAAGGAGUGAAGGCUACCCUGAGGGAGUCAUUAGGCAUUUCAGAGUGUUUUCACAGGGCAAAUGCAUUAAGGCAAAAUUGCAAAUGAGAAAGCAUGCGCAUUUUAAAACUUUGAAUACAUAUCGCCAAAUUGCUAGGUGGCGAUAACACCUGUUUUCGCUAUUACCAUAUCACAUCAGUCAGCGGGAUCUCGUUAUGCUUUCCACCUUCACAAAAGUGCAGGAUAAAAAGUCUUAUCUCAAUUUGCUUUUAUUCUAUUACUAUUGAGGUUGACCAUUUUUCAGACUUACCAAUUUUUUGUAUUAGUUUUGAGAAUUACUAAGUCAUAUGCUUUGUCUAUUUUUCUAUUAAUUCUUUAUAUUGAUAUUACUGAUUUAUACUACUUUGUCAUUGGACUUUUAAUAUUAUUUAUAGGAGUUUUAAAUGGGCAAUUUUCUGUUACGUAGUCUCACUUAAGUUUUAUCCUUUAUCAUUUCCGUUUUUGUUUUUGUCUUGGAAAAGUCUUCUAUCCCAUACUAAGAUAACUAUGUAUUUUUCUUAGCUUUUUCAUUGUUUCUACUCUUGAAUUUAAUUCUUUAAUUAGUUUAGCAUAUGGUAUGAGGUAGUAAUUCUACUUCCAUGAAAUUAUCCUAAGGAAAUAGGGAUAAACACAAAGAUGUACCUACACAAAUGUUCAUCAAACUGUUAUCGGUAAAGCCAAAAUUUUAGGGGGUAGGGACUAAAAUUCCAGAAAUAAGUUAGAUUAAAUCCACUUUGAAGAAAACCCACAUGAGGUUUUUUUGGUUUUGUUUUUGUUCUAAUUCUAUAUACAUUAUACACUGCUGGUGGGAGUGUAAAUUGGGAUGACCUUGAUGCAAGGCAUACUGGCAAUAUCUAUCUACAAAUACACAUAUCUUUUCAACCAGUAUUUCAAUUCCUGGGCAUUUUAUUCCACACGUGCAAAAUGACCUACAUACAAGAUUAUUUAUGGCAGCAUUGUUUGUAGUAGCAAAGGAUUAGAAAUAAUCUAAGUGUCCAUUAAAAGGAAGUUGGUUCAAUUAAUUAUGGAAUAUCAUCAAUACAAUGGAAUUGUGCUAUGAGAAAUACUAUGUGCCGUAAAAAAGAAUGAGGAAAUUAAUGCCUAAUAUUCACAUACAAUCUGUCUAAUAUAUUUCAAAAUAUAUUGUUGAGUGAAAAAGGCAAAGUGCAGAAAAGCGUGUAUCGAUCGUUAUCAUUUGUGCAAGGGGGGAGCAUAUUUAAAUAUAUAAAUAUCUAGGCAUGUACUUGUAUUUGCAUAAAAUAUUUACAUCAUUAUAGAUAUGAAACAUAACAUUGUUUGCCUUAUUAGAGGGAAACAGGAUGGAAGAGGUCAAAAUUAGGUUUGUCAGUUAUAUCCUUUGCAUAUUUGAAUCCUAAAUUAUGUAAAUAUAUUACCUUUUCAAAAACUAAAUUAAAUUAAAAGACGUUAAUGACGAAUGUUUAUUUCCAUUGGCAAGUGUUGGAAAUAUAUUAACUUUAAAAAUACCUGGUAAUAACCCCCCCCAAAAAAAAAAAUACCUGGUAAUAAAAUAGUCUGAAUAACGUAAUUCCA